UGAUCCAGCAAUGCCGCGUGUGUGAAGAAGGCCUUCGGGUUGUAAAGCACUUUUGUCAGGAACGAAACGGUCUGGGUUAAUACCUCGGGCUAAUGACGGUACCUGAAGAAAAGCACCGGCUAACUACGUGCCAGCAGCCGCGGUAAUACGUAGGGUGCAAGCGUUAAUCGGAAUUACUGGGCGUAAAGCGUGCGCAGGCGGUUAUGUAAGACAGAUGUGAAAUGCCCGGGCUUAACCUGGGAACUGCAUUUGUGACUGCAUGGCUAGAAUCUGGCAGAGGGGGGUAGAAUUCCACGUGUAGCAGUGAAAUGCGUAGAUAUGUGGAGGAAUACCGAUGGCGAAGGCAGCCCCCUGGGCUAAGAUUGACGCUCAUGCACGAAAGCGUGGGGAGCAAACAGGAUUAGAUACCCUGGUAGUCCACGCCCUAAACGAUGUCUACUAGUUGUCGGGUCUUAAUUGACUUGGUAACGCAGCUAACGCGUGAAGUAGACCGCCUGGGGAGUACGGUCGCAAGAUUAA
rnacentral:rRNA from 1 species